UACGUAGGGUGCAAGCGUUAAUCGGAAUUACUGGGCGUAAAGCGUGCGCAGGCGGUGAUGUAAGACAGAUGUGAAAUCCCCGGCUCAACCUGGGACCUGCAUUUGUGACUGCAUCGCUAGAGUACGGUAGAGGGGGGAUGGAAUUCCGCGUGUAGCAGUGAAAUGCGUAGAUAUGCGGAGGAACACCGAUGGCGAAGCAAUCCCCUGGACCUGUACUGACGCUCAUGCACGAAAGCGUGGGGAG
rnacentral:rRNA from 1 species